rnacentral:lncRNA from 1 species
UUUUUUUUUGUAAAUAGAAAAAAAUUAAAUUCUACAAGUUUUUUUAUUUUGAUUUUUUUAAAUUUUUUUAUAAAAUUUAAAAGAAUUAAUAAACUAUAAAAUUAAUUUAUAAUGUAUAUAUAACUAUAUGAUAAAAAAAUAAAAGAAAUAAAUAUAUUAAAAAAAUCAACUCCAAAACCAAUUUUUUAUUUUCUUAAAAAAAUCAAUUCCAAAACCAAUUUUAUAAAAAAAACACCAGUUAUUAAAACUCUAUUUAAAAAAAAAUUAUAUCAAAAAUAGUUUUAUUUUAUUUUAAAAAUUAUAUUAAAACUUUUUUUAUUUUAAUUAAUUAUAAAACUAUUUUAUAUAAAAAAAUAUUUAUUUUAAAAAGUUAUUUUAAAUUUGACUUCUAUAAUCCUCACAAAUAAUAUUUUGAUUAAAAACAAUCCAAAAGUAUGAUGUUACAUUAAAACAAUCAUAAAAUUAAAUAAUUACGAAUCAUAUCUCUAUAAAUCAUAAUUAUUUAUAAAAUGAAUAACUCAUAAAAAAAUUGUUCAACCUUCUAAAAUCUCUCAUAAUUAUUUAUAAAACAAAUAACUUUCAAAAAAAUUAUUCAAGCUUCCAAAAUCUCUGAUGUGGGUGGAAGUGUUGAAACCGUGUUCUCGGAUGUUGUAUAAGUUGACAUCUUUAAGAAAUUAUGUAAAAAGUAAAAAUUAAAUGAGCUUAUAUAAAAUUUUAAUUUCUUCACUUUGAAAAAUAUUAAUUUUUCCAUGGAACUUCUUAAAAGUAUAAUUUGGAAAUCACUAUUUUCAAUUAAUAUUGCUAAUACAUUUAACUUGAAACUUUAAAAUCCAUGAUGAAGCUUUAUAUUAUAACAAUCUAUAGAUUAUAUUGAAGAUAAUAAACUCCUAUAGGUUAUGGACUGCAAUAUUUUUAGAUCUUAUACUGAACAAUAUUGUGGUGAUAUGUAUUUGAGACAUAAUUAUUUUCAAAAUAUAAUAUUUUUUUGUAAAUAGAAAAAAAAUUAAAUUCUACAAGUUUUUUUUUAUUUUUAUUUUUUUAAAUUUUUUUAUAUAAAAUUUAAAAGAAUUAAUAAAAUAUAAAAUUAAUUUAUAAUGUAUAUAUAACUAUAUGAUAAAAAAAUAAAAAAAAAUAAAAAAAUAAAAGAAAUAAAUAUAUAAAUUUAAUAUAUAAUAAAAUUUAAAGAGAUUAACUAUUAUACACUGUCAGGGUUGCAUUACUAUAUAGAUUUUCAAAAUAAAAGCUAAAUUUAUAGAUUUUUAAAAUAAAAGUCAAAUUUAUUUUAAUAUCCAACAUUUAAGAUUAAUUGACGGUGUAAAAUCUUAUCAGUGUAUUUUAAUGUCAUUAUAAUUACCGAUUUAUAUUAACAAAAUAAAUCCUCAUAUUUAUAUUUUAACAAUUUAGUUAUAUAACCGAUUUUUUUCUCUUCCCUAAUCCCUGAUAUAUCUCAAAAUUCAUUUUGCUUUUCAAAAAGAAAUUAAGUAAAAUAAAUCUCAUUCAUAUAAAGCAUAAGGUGUUACUUGUAACACCUGUGGACCAUCAAAUUGGCACCCUUAUCUUCCUUUUCAAAAGAUGAGUAAACUAUUGCACAUUUCAAUGAGCAUUUAUUUUCCCUGUUUCUGACAACAAGUGUACAGUUUUUAUGAAAACAAGGCAGAAUAAUUUACAACAAUUUAAUGGUUCAUAUUAGCCGAACUUUAAUCCAUAAACAAAGAAACCAUAGUUAAGCCGAACUUAAAAUACACACCCAUCACAAAUCCAAAACAAUGGAUUUUGAUUAAAGAUUUUAAACAUAACAAACAACUUUAUUUUAUUCUAUAACUCCAAAAGGGCGUUUGACAUUUAAAUAAAACACCAGAGUUCACAUAAAACAUACUAGUACAUAAUCAUAACUUAUUAUCCUGCCACUAAACGGGGUAAAAACCACUUCAUUUGCAGGUGCAAGGGUUGCAAGUGCAGUUUGCUCCACAUUUGCAGCCAUCAUUCUCAGCUCCCAUCUCAGCACUCUCAAAUUGAGUCUUCUCAGAUCCAACUCCCAUGAUCAGUGUCUCAGAGCUUGUUGCCUCGGUGUAGCUCAAAUCAGC